CUUGGUUUGAGGAGUAUUUAUUAUGUUGUUGUUGUAUCCAAGUUCUGUUCUGCUUAGCUGAAUCAAGUUUGGACUCUAGAACAGUUCUGUUGAGUUUGGUUCUUUUGAAGACCUUGACCUGGAGUUGCAUGCUGACUUUGGUUCUUUGUGGGAAUGGGACCCCCUCUUGGGUUACAUGAUUGUCCACUAAUCAAUACACAAAGGGUGUGGCCUUAAAGACUUCAGGGUUCCUGGAUCUCAUGGCUCUGGAGGAUCUGGGUGCUGCUGGCUUGGAAAGCAUGAUCAGCCCAAAACGUUGACUGCUCGUUUCCAUGGAUGCUGUCUGACCUGCUGAAUUCCUCCAGCUUGUUUGUACAUGUUGGAAAGCAUUUAGUCUCCUUCCCUAAUUGCCCAUGAAAAACUGGCACUGAGCCACUUUGUUUUGAAGCACGGAAGUCCUUUAGGGUGCUGUGGGUUGGUGUUCCAGAAUUAAAGCUCAAUGGCAAUGAAGGACCAACUCCACAGGAUGAUGAGCAAUUUGGAGGAGAACAUACAGGUGGUGGUGUCCUAAUGUACACAUGGGUCUUAGAGGUAGAGUGGGAACUGCUGUUGGAGUAGCCUGGGUGUGUGAAUGCAAUACAUUUUGUACUUGGUACAUACUGCAGUCACUGUGCCCCAGUGCUGGAGGAAAUGAACACUGAGGGUGAUAGAUGAAAUAUCAAUUAAGUUAGCUUUUCUUUUAAUCCUGGAUGGCGAUGAGCUUUUGAUACAACUUUCUGUAAUGCUGGGCAUUCCCCUUGAUCUUACGGAAGCACUGCAGAUAGUAGUAACGAAUAUCAUUAAAAAAUAUAAGCUCACUAAAACAAAAGUUUUGUAUUCAAAAAAUAUCAGAAUGAUUAUUUCAUAUUUUUCACAAACAACAGUAACCGCUCUGGGCAGGAAGCAUAGAAGGACAAAUGAAUCACCUUUUUCCCCAGAGAGUCUAACUUGGCAGCUGUUUUAAAGCACAACUGAUUAAUAAAGUUGUCACAUUCAGCUGACAUUUUAAAUGAACUGAACCUUAAGUCACCAGAAAUAGGCAUUGAUUUGUUUCAAAACCGAAAUGAUACUAAAUUAAUAGUUGCUCGCAUGGGGAUAACUGAAUUGAAAAAUUAAAGAAGUCAUUAGAUUCCCAAUACUUUGAAGACACUAGUAGCAUGGCAUCAGGAAAAAAGAGAAACUAAAUAAAUGGUGCAGUAACAUCUCACUGUUUUUCUUGACAAUUUCAGUUGUUACUUCGAUAAGGAUGGAAAAUUGAAAGAAAAUAAACCAUUGGAUGAAAGAUCCUUUCUGUAGAAUACCUUGAAUCAAUAAUGGAGCUAAACUUCAUGCAUGAUUUGCAAUUCACCUGGGAGAGUCCAAUGACAAUACGCCACAAGCUGUUGUUUGGAAACGGAUUGGAUCAGUGUUCUGAAAAAUGUUUCGGAAUAAGUCAAGUGUUCUGUUGUAGGUUGUUGGAUACAGUAACAAAUGCAAACUAGGACUUCCGCUUGUAGCAAAGUUACACAUAAACAAAAUAAAUCAACGUAUUAAUUCACAAUACACAGGUGAUGUAUCCAUCGUGUGAACCAAAAUGAAAAGAGCAUGAACGCCAGGGAGGUUCACUUAAAUAACACAGAAACUCAAUGUGAUCAGCCUUUAUAUUGCAUUCAAAAGCUUUAUUUAAGUAACAUCAAAGUAUAAUAUUCAUUGCUAAAGUGAAGUGGUUAAAGCAAGCAGAGAUGAUAAAUCCAGAAUCUCUCUCACUGCUACAGAAUGUAGAAAACUGAAAACGUGAAAUAGGAUAGCACGUGGUCCUUUGGCCCACGAUACUGUAUGGAUCUACAGAAUAUAAACCUACUCCAUGAUCAAUCUUACCCUUUCCUCCUGUACAAUCUAUAACCUUUCAUUUUUCUUACAUUUUCCGUGUGCUUAUCCAAGAGGCUCUUAAACAUCCGUAUCACCACCCCAACAAUGUGUAUAGACACCUACCACUGUGUAAAACACCUGAUUCCGACAUCUCCCCUAAACUUCCCUCUACUCACAAUGGCCAAUUCUCUGGUACUGGCCUGGGAAAAAGGCACUGGCUUUCCACUCUAUCUAUGCCUCUCAAUCUUAUAACAUGUCAAUCAAACCAUUUCUCAUCCUCCUUCAUUCCAAAGAAAAAGUCCCAGCUCACUCAACUUUUCCUCAUAAGUUACUCUAAUUCAGGAAGCAUCCUGGUAUAUCUCCUCUGACCCCUCGCUAAAGCUUCCUCAUCCUUCCUACAAUGAGGUGACCAAAACUGAACACAAUAUUCUAAGUGUGCUCUAAUCAGUUAUAUAGAGCUGCAACUACACCUCAUGGCUUUUUAACUCAAUCCCUGGUUUAAUAAUGUGAAAACAUGUAGCACCCAGCUCAAAGACAGAAGCUCUGGGACCUCUUGUAGGAUAAGAUGGACUCUUGGCUUCACACUCUACCUAUGAUUUUGCACUUUAUCAAUUAAAACAGAGAUGAGAAGGAAUUGCUUUAGCCAGAGGGUAGUGAAUAUGUAGAAUUAUUUGCAACAGAUGGCUGUGUGGAGGCCAAGUCACCAAGUAUAUUUAAAAUGAAGGCUGAUGAGCACUUGAUUAGUAAAGGUGUCAAAGAUUUUGGGGAGAAUGCAGGAGAAUGGGGUUGAGGGCACUAAUAAAUCAGCCAUGAUAUAACGGUGGAACAGACUUGAUAGACUGCAUGGCCUAAUUCAGCUCCUAUGUCUCAUGGUCUUUAUUAUUACACUUUAUUCUUUAUUGUUAUUGUUUUACUUUAUUAUAGCUCAAUACUCUCAUAUUAUGUAAUGACUUUACCUGUAAAAACAGUAUGUAAUACAAGCUUUUCACUGUAUCUUGGUACAUGUGACAAUAAUAAACCAAUACACCUUCUUAACCACCCUAUCAAAUUCCACAGCAGUUUUGAGGUAUCUAUGGAUAUGGACCCCGAGAUCCCUCUGUUCUUCCAACUGGUAAGAAUUCUGCCAAUAACCUUUUGCUCUGCCUUUAAGUUGGAUCUUCCCAAAAUUUAUGACUUGACAUUUUUCUGGAUUAAACUCCAUCUGCCACUUCUCUGCAUCCUGUCUAUAAUCCUGUGGUAACCCAUCACAACCUUCUACAGCACCCUUAACACCAGUGGUCCCCAACCACAGGGCUGCAAAGCAUGUUCUACCGAGCCGCGAGGAAAUGAUAUGAUUUGGUGAUAUGAAACGAUAUAAAUCACCUGCACUUUUCCUCACUCUGUCACACCCACUGUUGAACUUGAAUUCAUGUGAGGUCAUCAGUCGCCUAAACGCAGUGAUAUCCUCCCACCAGGGAUCACUGGUUGGCCUUGGGUAACCGGCCAUCUCACACGGCCGGUGAGAAGUACCAUUACUACUGGCCUGCAGCGCGGACAGAUGGGCACCGCCUCUAAACCUGUUUACCACUCCGAAUGUUCGUGGGGAACCCGGUGCUAAAAUAUUCGCAGACGACCUAAUUCGGGCUCAGGGUUUCAUAAGUAGCAGAGCAGCUACCUCGCUGCGAUCGACUGAAAGUCGUCCCUCGAGCCAAACUUUUGUUGGCCAAUGGAUCCUACCUACCUACAAGGAGGGCAGGCGUGCGCUGUCGCACUCCUCGCUCAGUCUGCAAGAAUAUUGUCAAUAUUAAACUGGUCCGCGGUGCAAAAAAGGUUGGUGACCCCUGCUUAACACCACCAACUUUUGUGUCAUCUACAAACUUGCUAACCUAUUCACCUUUUCACUUCUGCACCCAGGUCAUUUAUAAAAAACAGAAAAAAUAAUGGUCCUCAAACAGAUCCUUGCAGAACACCACUAGUCACCAAACUACAGGCCGAAUGCCCUCACAACCACUCACUGCCUUCUGUGGGCAAAACAGUUCUAAAUCCUCACAGCCAAAUUUCCAUGUAUCCAUUGCCUUAUGACUUUGUAGAUGUAACUUACUUGGAGAAGCUGGUCAAACACCUUACUAAAAUCAAAACUCAUCACACUGUGAUGAGAUCAAAGGUUCAUUCAUUAUGGACUGUGCCUUUAAAAUGAGAGAGAGAGUGUGUGUGCCACUGAUUCAGAGAGAGAGAGAGAGAGAGUGUGCCACUGAUUCAGAGAGAGAGAGAGAGAGAGCACUGUGCAGCUUGUGAGUCACUAUGGUGAUGGAAGGGCAGAGCUAUAUAAUGGACAGCUGGCAUUCAGCAUGUUUAGGAUAUAUACAAGGUCAGCUGGCUUUUCAGACAGACACACAGAAGACACAGACAGAAAUACAGAAGAAACUAGACAAUGGGGUGACCUGCUGGGGUACCCUUUGAGAGAAUUGAAAUAGAGCUGCCCUGGCCUGCCCUUUGGCUCUGCUUGGUGUCGCUGCUGAGGCUGGCCAUGCGCAUAUGUCUUGGUGCCACAUCCCGAUUUCCAUGAUGGCGGAUCAGCUCUCGGGUGAAAGCGGGGCUGUUGAUUUUGGCGAAUGAGCAAUUUUAUAUGAAUAUAUAAUUCUGAACUAUGCCUGCAUUCUGUGUUAGCACGUUUUAAGUCAAUUUAACCAAAAAUAGUGCCGCUGUAAUGCACCGUUUGUGCUAAUUGGAUGUCACUAACAGACAGAGCAUGAGAGUUUUAAUAGUAUAUAACUAGACAUUGGAUGAGCUUUGAGUGCCCAUGAAAGUGUGGGUUUUGCUCGCCGUGUGGAAAAGGGGUGACCGGUGGAAGGCUAUCGCUGCGUUUAACCUUUGCCUGGGUUGAUAGCUUUACUGCAUGAAGAUAGUACCCUUUUGUGUGGAAUUGCUCAAAAGUUAAAACUUAAGGUGACCACUAGAAUGAAGAAGGCUCAGAUGCAGACAUUAAUAGCACAGUAUUAUAUAUCCAAGGGAAAGUUCAAAGAGGAUGUGUUGGAAAUGUUUGCUGAAGGUAAACCUACUGAGGCUGAGCUUCAGCUUCAGGUAGAAAAAUUGAAGUGUGAGCAUAAGUUGCAACUAAAACAGCUUGAGGUUGUCGAAGCAGAAAAACGGAGGCAGUAUGAUGCUAGAGAGGCAGAAAAACAGAGAGUUCAAGAGGGAGAGAUGGCAGCAAAGAAGUCAAGUGCCAGACCUUGUUGGUGGGUUUAGUGUUGUUAUGAAUGUACCACAGCUCUGAGGGGCCGAAGGGUGCGGGGUAGCCCCCUCCUUUGUGAGAAUCGCAAGAUCACUAAUGAGUCCGUUCAGGAGACCCAGGAAAUGGGAGAGAGAGAGACGUGCCGAAUACCUCAUUCCACCGCGAUGCAAAAUAAUGCGACAUUGACCAUUGUCUCCUGGAGACCACGUUUGUGGAUUGGGGACUAUGCUACGUGCAAGCCCUCGGGCAAAGUGGGCUGGUUGAGAGAGAGAUUGCAUCAUCCCAACCUGAUUGACAUCUGAGACCCCGUGAGGAAGUAUAAAAGAGGGUCUGGGGGAAACACCCCCUUCAGACGCACCAGAAGAAACGCUAACGGUCCCGUAGUAGCAGGAAGCCAUUUGAAGGAAGUCACGUGCAUUCGAUUCCGCGGCUGGAAUCAGUGACUGGAACCACGGAAACCAGCUUUUAGCUAACAACGGGGAAGCCCGCUCCCCUGAUUCGAUGGAUUUGCUUCAUAAAAAACCCGGGCAAGUUUCUUUUCUCACCAAUCUCUCUCUCUCUCUCUCCAACAAGUGAAAACCCAGCGGUCCCCCAAAAGGCUGAAGCCUGCAGGACCUGAGUGACUUUUAUAUUUCCAUCGGACAAUAUAUUAUCCCCUAGACAAACGAUCGAGCUGUUUCUUAUUGAUGGUUAUUAUUAGACCCGCGCUUUUAGAUUGAGUAGUGAUGACGUAUAUUAUCUGAAUGUUUGUAUUAAUCUUACUUUUGUGCCCCUUCAUAAAUAAAGACUUUUAAAAAUAGUACCAUCAGACUUCAAUGGACCUCUCUAUCUUUGCUGGUAAGUGAUCCAGUUACGGGAUUUCGUAACAGUUGGGGUUCUUGUCUCAGGAUUUGACACCAAAUUGGAGGGCCAGUGAAUCGGGCUUGUAGGUCCAAAACUUGGAUCUGGUUACGCGAGUAGCCAGACGGGAAAUCAGCAAAGAUGGACGUGGGUGAAUUUAUAGAAAACCCGACUCUGGAGAUGCUGGAGGUGGCCUCCAAAUCGGACUUGAUAAAAUUGGCGAAGGAGUUAAACCUCGCAGGGGUGAGGUUGUCAAUGAAAAAGCGGGAGGUGCGAAGGGCAAUAACUCAGUAUUAUACUGGGAAGAAUGUGUUUACAGCUGAGGUAUUGGAAAAUAUCCCUGAAAAGGUUCAGUUAGAAUUGGAGAAAUUAAGGUGGGAACAUGAAAUUAAGUUAAAACAGCUGGGAGCAGCUGAGAGGGAGAAGGAGGCAGAGAGACAGAGGAAACAUGACUUGGAGAUGGAGAUGUUAAGGCAAGAGCAACGCAGUCAGGGGUCGGACUGAGAGGAGUGGUUUGAUGUCAGUCGGGCGUUAAGGUUAGUACCUCUGUUCGAGGAGACGGAUGUUGAUAGUUAUUUCUUGCUUUUUGAAAAGGUGGCAGUGAAUCAGAAGUAGCCCAGAGAGCAGUGGGUGGCGUUGUUACAAAGUGUGUUAAGAGGGAAGGCCCAGAGGGCAUAUGUGGCAUUGCCCAUGGAGGGGGAAGGGGAAGAGAAAUAUGACCAAGUAAAGGCGGCCAUUCUCCGGGGGUUAUGAGCUAGUAGCUGAAGCAUAUAGACAAAAGUUCAGAAAUCUACGAAAAGGGUGGAAUCAGACAUAUGCCAAGUUUGCCUAUGAGAAGGGUGUGCUCUUGGACCACUGGUGCACCGCGGAAAAAGUGGACGAGGAUUAUGGGCGUCUCAGGGAAUUACUUUUGAUUGAGGAAUUUAAAGGUUGUGUUUCGGAGGACAUCCGGAUGUAUUUGAAUGAGAAGCCGAGUAAGUCCAUUUCAGAAUUUGCUAGGUUCGCGGAUGAAUAUGCCCUAACCCACAAGACAAAGUUUUCCUUGAAUAAAAGUUCCCAGUGAGACCGUGGGAACGAUCGAGAAAGUCCGACGAGUGAGGCAGAGGUCCCACCGGGAGCUAGCGGUAAGGUUGAGGGGGAAAGGCAAGACGGCCAGAGGUUUUCGGAUUUGACCUGUUUUAAUUGUGGAAAGGCAGGGCAUAUUGCAUCUCGAUGCUUUGCUCUGAGGAAAGAGAUAGGAAAAGGGAAAACCGCAGUCCCUAUCGGGUGUGUCAUGGUAAUCAGUAAAUCGACCAGAGAGCCCCGGGUAGACAGAGUACAAGAAGGGUCUGAGACUUGUCUGACACAUGGAACCGUGUCUUUGAGGAAGGGGGAACCACCAAUUCCCGUAUCAAUCUGGAGAGACAUGGGGGCUGAGCCGUCGUUGAUCAGCAAUAAGGUACUAGAAUUUGGUUGAAAAACGGGCAUGGUGGCGGUAGAGGGGAUCAGCAAAAGAAUAGAAAU